rnacentral:rRNA from 1 species
AUUGAACGCUGGCGGCAUGCUUUACACAUGCAAGUCGAACGGCAGCACGGUCUAGCUUGCUAGAUGGGUGGCGAGUGGCGAACGGGUGAGUAACGCGUAGGAAUAUGCCUUGAAGUGGGGGACAACUUGGGGAAACUCAAGCUAAUACCGCAUAAUGCCUAAGGGCGAAAGCUGGGGACCUUCGGGCCUGGCGCUUUAAGAUUAGCCUGCGUCCGAUUAGCUAGUUGGUGGGGUAAGGGCCUACCAAGGCGACGAUCGGUAGCUGGUCUGAGAGGAUGACCAGCCACACUGGAACUGAGACACGGUCCAGACUCCUACGGGAGGCAGCAGUGGGGAAUAUUGGACAAUGGGGGCAACCCUGAUCCAGCAAUGCCGCGUGUGUGAAGAAGGCCUGAGGGUUGUAAAGCACUUUCAGUGGGGAGGAGGGUUGAUAGGUUAAGAGCUAAUUGACUGGACGUUACCUACAGAAGAAGCACCGGCUAACUCCGUGCCAGCAGCCGCAGUAAAAC